rnacentral:miRNA from 1 species
UUCUUGUCGUUUUUACUAUAUU